CAGAGCCUUAAGAAGAACUUCCCCACUGGUGACACUCGAAUCUGGGAACCCUGAGACCAGGAAGCUAAGAAGCCAGCACUGGCCUGCUGGAUGAUGAGUACCACCCCUAUGCCUGCUGACAGCCAGCCGACCCCAGAUCUGAUGGGCUCCUGCCUGAGUGUGCCCAGAUGACACCAACUAGAGCAGAGUGUUUGAACUCACCAUAAGACUGACACACCACGUGCACCAGGGGAUAAGACUUCCAGAGGACUCGGUCACACCAGGAAGUCCCAUGCAUUUUUAGGUUUGUAUAAACCCACUUACCCACUACCCAGAGCAAGAUACAGAAAACCGCCAUCAUCCUAAAGCUUCCCUCAUAAGCCUUCCUUGUCAAUACCAGAGCCUCCUAAAGG
rnacentral:lncRNA from 10 species